rnacentral:tRNA from 1 species
GCCCUUGUAGCCCAAUUGGUAGAGGCAACGGACUUAGAAUCCGUUCAGUAUAGGUUCGAAUCCUAUCAAGGGUACCA